rnacentral:rRNA from 1 species
CGGCUACCACAUCUAAGGAUGGCAGCAGGCGCGUAAAUUACCCAAUGCUAACACAGUGAGGUAGUGACAAGAAAUACCAUUUGGUGGAAUUUUCUGCCUUUUGGAAUGAGCGGGUGUUAAAUCUGCCCGCGAGUAUCAAUUGGAGGGCAAGUCUGGUGCCAGCAGCCGCGGUAAUUCCAGCUCCAAUAGCGUAUAUUAAAGUUGUUGCGGUUAAAAAGCUCGUAGUCGGAAAUCGGGCGCAAGGUUCUCUACUCACGUGGAGUUACCUACGCUCUAUGAUAUUUCAUGAUACUUUGAGGAAAACAGAGUGCUCAAAAUGUGCUCUCGCUCAAAUGUCGCAGCAUGGAAUAUCAACAAUGACUCGUUGGGCUACCAGCGCCCAUCGAGUAAUGCUAAAAGGGAGCAGUCGGGGCUGUCCGAAUUAAGCAGAUAGAGGUGAAAUCCUUGGACCUGCUUAAGACGAUCAAAAGCGAAAGCAUUCAGCAAGGCUGUCUCCAUCGAUCAAGAACGAAAGUUAGGGGAUCGAAGACGAUCAGAUACCGUCGUAGUCUUAACCAUAAACGAUGCCGACUUAGCUUUAGACUCGUCAACGAACGGGUUUGGGGCUGUAGAGAAAUCAAAGUUCUUGGGCUCCGGGGGGAGUAUGGUCGCAAGGCUGAAACUUAAAGGAAUUGACGGCGAAGCACCACAAGGUGUGGAGCCUGCGGCUUAAUUUGACCCAACACGGGAAAACUCACCAGGUCAAGACACGCGGAGGAGUGACAGACUGAAAGCUCUUUCUCGAUUGCGUGAUAGGUGGUGCAUGGCCGUUCUUAGUUGGUGGAGUGAUCUGUCUGGUUAAUUCCGAUAACGAACGAGACCUCAGCCUACUAAAUAAACGUCUAGUCUCAACUAGUAUGUUUUCUUAGAGGGACUUCCUGUGCAAGCAGGCGGAAGACUGAGGCAAUAGCAGGUCUGUGAUGCCCUUAGAUGUCCUGGGCCGCACGCGCGCUACACUGGCACGAACAACGGGUCUCUGAAACCGAUACGUCCAAGUAACCCCUAAUUCGUGUCGUGCUUGGGAUUGGACAUUGUAAUUAUUGUCCAUGAACGAGGAAUACCUAGUAGGCAUGGGUCAUCAACUCAUGCCGACUAUGUCACUGCUUCGUGUACACACCGCCCGUCGCUCCUACCGAUUGAAUCAAUUGGUGAAUGUCACAGACUCUGCUCACGUGGAGGAAGUGACGUGAAUCACAUGAUUUAGAGGAAGGAGAAGUCGUAACAAGGUC